rnacentral:rRNA from 1 species
AAUUGGCGUUAUUUAAUAUGUUUGGCUAAAUUUGAGUUAAUUGUCUUAUGGAUUUAUUGUUUGAAUUUUUAGGUGAAAUUUGCAUUUAAAUUAUGUUUAUUAUGGAUUCUUUUAAAAGCUUUUUUAAACUAGGAUUAGAUACCCUAUUAUUUUGCUUGUAAAUAUUUUUAGGGUAGUAUUAGUUAAGUUCUUUAAACCUAAAGAAUUUGGCGGUGUUUUAGUCUUAUUAGAGGAAUUUGUCCCAUAAUCGAUAACCCUCGUUUUAUCUGGCUUGGCUGUGUUAUAUCAGUAUGUAUACCUCCGUUAUAGGUUUAUUUUUUUAGGGUGGAUUUACAUAAUAGCUUAUUUGUUAUUAU